GGGCGCAGCGUACGGCUCAGUAACAUGUGGCUAACCUAACCUCAGGACGGGGACAACCCCGGGAAACUGGGGCUAAUACCCGGUAGAUUAGGAGGCCUGGAAUGGUUCCUAGUCGAAAAGGCGUUGAAACCAUGCUUUUCGACGUCGCCUAAGGAUGGGGCCGCACCUGAUCAGGUUGUUGGUGAGGUAAUGGCUCACCAAGCCUAUAACCGGUACGGGCCGUGAGAGCGGGAGCCCGGAGAUGGGCACUGACACAAGGGCCCAGGCCCUACGGGGCGCAGCAGUCGCGAAAACUCCGCAAUGCGCGAAAGCGUGACGGGGCUACCCCGAGUGCUGUCCGCUGAGGAUGGCUUUUCCCUGGUGUAAUGAGCCGGGGGAAUAAGGAGAGGGCAAGACUGGUGUCAGCCGCCGCGGUAAUACCAGCUCUCCGAGUGGUAGGGAUGAUUAUUGGGC
rnacentral:rRNA from 1 species